AUGCAGCACCAUGCAACUCCACUGACAAAGCAGAAGGAAUGUCAGAGGUGAUGGACGCAGAAGAGCUGGAAGAACAGUCCUCAGAAACAGCCACUACUGUAGCUAUCGUGAUGACUGCAGAUUAAGAUGGAGGCCACUUGUGCUGUGUCUGCCGCGUCCUUUUCGAUGACAGGAAGAAGACUGCUUCAAAGAAGUGGCGUUCAUGGUCACAGUGCACAGUGUGCCAAUCAUGGUCACACACUGCAUGUCAAGACACCAUGCAAACAGCCUGUAGCACUGCAUCAGUGAUAGGAAACAUGCUAGUUACACAAGAUGUUUUGUGUUUUAACUUUGAGCUGUUUUACUUUGUUCAUGACCCCAUCCAUGCAAACACACACACACAUUUUUUUAUAUUUUUAUGUAUU